AGCAGCCGCGGUAAUUCCAGCUCCAAUAGCGUAUAUUAAAGUUGUUGCAGUUAAAAAGCUCGUAGUUGAAUUUCGGGAUCAAUAUAUCGGUCGUGCCUUGGUACGUACUGGUAUCAUUGGUUUCUCCUUUCUGACGAACCAUGAUGUCAUUAAUUUGGUGUUAUGGGAAGUUAGGACUGUUACUUUGAAAAAAUUAGAGUGUUUAAAGCAGGCUUUAGCUUGAAUACAUUAGCAUGGAAUAAUGAAAUAGGACGUUCGAACCUAUUUUGUUGGUUUCUAGGAUCAACGUAAUGAUUAAUAGGGAUAGUUGGGGGCAUUAGUAUUCAAUUGUCAGAGGUGAAAUUCUUGGAUUUAUUGAAGACUAACUACUGCGAAAGCAUUUGCCAAGGAUGUUUUCAUUAAUCAAGAACGAAAGUUAGGGGAUCGAAGACGAUCAGAUACCGUCGUAGUCUUAACCAUAAACUAUGCCGACUAGGGAUCGGAUGAUGUUAAUUUAAUGACUCA
rnacentral:rRNA from 1 species